rnacentral:rRNA from 1 species
AUAAUACUCCAUAGUCCAUGGAAUCUGGAAUGAUCCAUGGAUGAAAGUUCCGGCGCUUAAGGAUCGGUCUGCGGCCUAUCAGGUAGUAGUGGGUGUAACGGACCCACUAGCCGAUGACGGGUAUGGGCCUUGAGAGAGGGAGCCCAGAGUUGGAUUCUGAGACACGAAUCCAGGCCCUACGGGGCGCAGCAGUCGCGAAAACUUCACAAUGGGGGCAACCCCGAUGAGGGAAUUCCUAAUGCUAGCACAUUUGUGUUAGCUUUUCUUUAGCGUAGAUAACUAGAGGAAUAAGGGCUGGGAAAGACGGGUGCCAGCCGCCGCGGUAAUACCUGCAGCCCAAGUGGUGGUCGAGUUUAUUGAGUCUAAAACGUUCGUAGCCGGUUCGGUAAAUCUUUGGGUAAAUCGGAGGGCUUAACCUUCCGACUUCCGAGGAGACUGCCGAACUUGGGACCGGGAGAGGCUAGAGGUACUUCUGGGGUAGGGGUAAAAUCCUGUAAUCCUAGAAGGACCACCGGUGGCGAAGGCGUCUAGCUAGAACGGAUCCGACGGUGAGGGACGAAGCCCUGGGUCGCAAACGGGAUUAGAUACCCCGGUAGUCCAGGGUGUAAACGCUGCAGACUUGGUGU